UACAGAGGUCUCAAGCGUUGUUCGGAUUCAUUGGGCGUAAAGGGCGCGUAGGCGGCGGUGUAAGUCGGUUGUGAAAUCUCAGAGCUCAACUCUGAAACUGCACUCGAUACUGCUCUGCUUGAGGACUGGAGAGGAGACUGGAAUUUACGGUGUAGCGGUGAAAUGCGUAGAUAUCGUAAGGAAGACCAGUGGCGAAGGCGGGUCUCUGGACAGUUCCUGACGCUGAGGCACGAAGGCCAGGGGAGCAAACGGG
rnacentral:rRNA from 1 species